AUGGCCUGGUCCUCAAAAAGCUUACAGUCUAUAGCAGGAGUCUGCAAGCUUGUUUCAUAAAGGGCCUAAAGGAAACAUUUUAGGCUUCUUGGGCCAUGCAGAUUCUGUUGGGAUUACCCAGUUCUGCUUGUGUACCAUAAAUGCAGCCUUAGACAA
rnacentral:snoRNA from 1 species